rnacentral:sRNA from 1 species
CGCUGUCCAGGGAGGCUGAGGCGAGAGGUAGCUGUCCGGGUGGGGAGCCCGCACUACCUUCUUCCUCUUCCUCCUCCUCUGGGUGAGGGGAGCGAAGGUUGGGGGUCCCCGAGCCCAUGGACCAGGAGGAGGCGGAGGCCGCCGAGAGCCGGGGCCCCGCUAUGUGGCCCUGAGCCCCGAGGGUCCUGUAGUGGCUGCAGUGAGCACAAAGGUGAAAUGAAGGAAGUCAAAAUUGAUAACCUCUGGAGGGAUUCCAGGAACUCUUUGGCUUCUGGUCUCAUAGUGGUUGUGUCCAACUGACAGUAGUUGCAGUUAGUGAAGAGCAUUAGCUGACUCUCCUUGUGCUCUCUCCUGUGAUUAACAGACUGAAAACUAGGAACAAAUUGGAAAGACGACCUUCCAGAACAAUCUGUUCAUUUUUCCAGCUAUUUGGAAAACAGUGUCUGCAAAUAUAAGCAAAGCUAUU